CGGGCGGGGAUGUCGAUUGGGAGUUGUGCCUUGAGGCGUGGCUUCCGGAGCUAACGCGUUAAAUCGACCGCCUGGGGAGUACGGCCGCAAGGUUAAAACUCAAAUGAAUUGACGGGGGCCCGCACAAGCGGUGGAGCAUGUGGUUUAAUUCGAUGCAACGCGAAGAACCUUACCUGGUCUUGACAUCCACAGAACUUUCCAGAGAUGGAUUGGUGCCUUCGGGAACUGUGAGACAGGUGCUGCAUGGCUGUCGUCAGCUCGUGUUGUGAAAUGUUGGGUUAAGUCCCGCAACGAGCGCAACCCUUAUCCUUUGUUGCCAGCGGUUCGGCCGGGAACUCAAAGGAGACUGCCAGUGAUAAACUGGAGGAAGGUGGGGAUGACGUCAAGUCAUCAUGGCCCUUACGACCAGGGCUACACACGUGCUACAAUGGCAUAUACAAAGAGAAGCGACCUCGCGAGAGCAAGCGGACCUCAUAAAGUAUGUCGUAGUCCGGAUUGGAGUCUGCAACUCGACUCCAUGAAGUCGGAAUCGCUAGUAAUCGUAGAUCAGAAUGCUACGGUGAAUACGUUCCCGGGCCUUGUACACACCGCCCGUCACACCAUGGGAGUGGGUUGCAAAAGAAGUAGGUAGCUUAACCUUCGGGAGGGCGCUUACCACUUUGUGAUUCAUGACUGGGGUGAAGUCGAAAGGGGAACCCCCAAAAAGACGUGGACCCCUGGGGUUAUAGACACUGACUUGGAUAGUUUUCCCCGUGGGGCAGCCCUCCCCCCCGAAAUUUCCCCAUAAUCCCCGGCUUGUUCCCCGAGACCCCGGGGAAUUCGCCCCCGCUGCACCCGAAUUUUUGGCGGGAGCGUUCAUCGAUCAGCGGACGCGCGGGUUGACCCCCGGGAAAAUCCCCCACCCGACGUCACAAAAAACCCGGCCGGGGGGGGCUUUAACCCCCCCAUUAAUCCCCCAAAAAACGCCGUGGCCCCCCCCUCAGAUAACACGCGGCGGGCGCGGCGCCCCCAGGGAGAGGGCGGGGGGCAUUUUCCCCUGG
rnacentral:rRNA from 1 species